rnacentral:lncRNA from 1 species
CCUGGGCCCCUUUUCCCGGAUGCCUGGGCCCCUUUUCCCGGAUGCCUGGGCCCCUUUUCCCGGACGCCUGGGCCCCUUCCCCGGACACCUGGGCCCCUUCCCGGAUGCCUGGGCCCCUUUUCCCGGACGCCUGGGCCCCUUCCCGGACGCCUGGGCCCCUUCCCGGACGCCUGGGCCCCUU